AUGCCGCCGGGGACCUCUCCGCCGUCGACGGAGGCGUGGACCUGGGAGAACGCCGUCGCCGGAGCGACCGCCGGCUUCGCCACCGNNNNNNNNNNNNNNNNNNNNNNNNNNNNNNNNNNNNNGUGUUUAGUGAGCGGCGGGAGAGGGUUGUCCGACUUGCCGCCGUACAGGAACACGGGACACGCUGUGUACACCAUCGCACGAUCUGAGGGCCUGAGGGGACUUUAUGCCGGCUUUUAUCCUGCAGUCCUGGGAUCAACCGUUUCUUGGGGGCUAUAUUUCUUUUUUUACAACAGAGCUAAACAAAGAUACUUACAGGAGAAGGAUGUUCAGCUCCGUCCAUUCGACCAUCUUGCCUCAGCUGCAGAAGCAGGUGCUUUGGUUUGCCUGUUUACAAAUCCCAUAUGGCUGGUGAAAACACGGAUGCAACUACAAACACCCGGGCAUACUUCGUCUUAUUCUGGAUUUUCGGAUGCUUUGAGAACUAUUCGGAAAGAGGAGGGAUGGCGAGCACUUUAUAGAGGGAUCGGACCUGGACUUUUGCUGGUCACCCAUGGCGCGAUACAAUUCACUGCCUAUGAGGAACUUCGCAAGGCUAUGAUAUCUGCGAAAAGUAAACAAACAAGGGGAGAUGACAAAGGCAGCGAGGAUUUAUUGAACUCCGUUGAUUAUGCGGCACUUGGCGCUGGUUCAAAAUUAUCUGCUAUUCUGCUUACUUAUCCUUAUCAGGUUAUCCGAGCCCGCUUACAGCAACGACCUGGUAGUGAUGGUAUCCCAAAGUACUCAGAUAGUUGGCAUGUAGUGAAGGAAACUGCGAGGUACGAAGGUGUCCGGGGUUUUUACAGGGGCAUCACGUCCAACCUGUUGAAGAACCUUCCAGCGGCUUCUGUGACGUUUGUGGUGUAUGAAAAUGUCAUCAAACUAUUCAGAGCAACCAAGGAGAAGACGUAG
rnacentral:rRNA from 1 species